GGAUGUGAGGGCGAUCUGGCUGCGACAUCUGUCACCCCAUUGAUCGCCAGGGUUGAUUCGGCUGAUCUGGCUGGCUAGGCGGGUGUCCCCUUCCUCCCUCACUGCUCCAUGUGCGUCCCUCCCGAAGCUGCGCGCUCAGUCGAAGAGGACGACCAUCCCCGCUAGAGGAGGACCGGUCUUCGGUCAAGGGUAUACGAGUAGCUGCGCUCCCCUGCUAGAACCUCCAAACAAGCCCUAAAUGUCUUCCUCACCCACUCCACACAUUCACUCCUCAAGCAGCCACAAAAUUCUAAUCUUCCCAGAGACUUCCACUGAUGAAAACUUGGCCAGGUGUCCGUUUUCUUUUGU
rnacentral:snRNA from 1 species